ACGGACUGAAAAUGACCCCAGGUGCACCAGUGAUCUGGGGUCAGAUAACUGUGCCUAUAGUACUGUGGUGCAUUAAGCUUAUUGCGUUUGUCUCCUGGUGUCUGCGUGAUAAAACCCAUGUACCAACAUAC
ensembl:snoRNA